rnacentral:sRNA from 1 species
ACAAAUUCGGACGAAGAGCUUUGU